rnacentral:rRNA from 1 species
GACGUAGGGCGCAAGCGUUGUCCGGAUUUAUUGGGCGUAAAGAGCUCGUAGGCGGCUUGUUGCGUCGGCUGUGAAAACCCGUGGCUUAACUGCGGGCUUGCAGCUGAUACGGGCGGGCUGGAGUUCGGUAGGGGAGACUGGAAUUCCUGGUGUAGCGGUGAAAUGCGCAGAUAUCAGGAGGAACACCGAUGGCGAAGGCAGCUCGCUGGGACGGUACUGACGCUGAGGCGCGAAAGCGUGGGGAGCAAACAGG